GACGUCCUUGGCCUUUCCCUUGAGGUGCGCGGCCUUCCCGCGGCCGUGGGCGACGUGCUGAGCGUCGCGAUGCCA
rnacentral:tRNA from 1 species